UUUCUGUUCUCCCUUACAAACAAAACUUCCACUGAGCACACCUCAACAUCACUCACGAUUUUGUUUGUAUCCUGACAGCUGGAUGAAUAUUGCUGUUUUCCAGGAGUUUUGUAUGAAUGAAACACUGACAUCCCUGCUGGUCAUCCUGGAGGAGAUGUGCUGUCACCUGCAGAAGGUGUUUUCCCUGGUACUGCAGGUAGCAAGCUGCUGGAUUACACAGCUACACUGCCAGUAGUUGGGACCUCUCAGAAGAGAUCCUGAGCUCACACCGAACAUCUUGAGGACACGUGGAGGGAUCCUUGGCAUCCCCGCAUUCCUAGCCCAGAGCCUCGUCUCUAGGGAGCUCAGAGCUGCUGUGCCCCAUGCUCAGGAAAACCAGGCAGGCUGGCCACACAGGCUAUAGAUGUACCACUGGCAAACAAGACUCCUUUUCUUGUAACAGGAGUCAAAAGUUUGGCAACUAGUGGGCAUUGUCCCUAACCCAAGUGAACUGCAAAACCCGAGAAAUUACAGGAGUUUAGUGCUAACUGUUUUCAUUGGUGCAUGGGGAGCAGGUAAGCUCAUGGAAAAGAGCAUCGCUGGGUGGUAAUAGGGACAUGGAAAUCGCCACGAGUCCACAGAGUCCAUUGUGACCCCUCCAUGUCACAACUGGAGGAGGGUGACAGGACUGAGAGGACAAAGACCCGCAUGUGCAUGCUCUGCUCUUAUGAGUCCCAUAUUCUUCCCUAUACUUUCCCUUUUGGGUAGCAUUAGAGGCAGGCUGCUGGCUCAGAUGGACCUUUGGUCUCGUGCAGUACAGCUGACUGAUGUUCUCAAGAGAAUGGCACAGAUAGUAUCCCCCUGUGAUGCUAACUUGAAAAACAAGAAGAAAAAGAAUCCCAUUUGUGGCCAAGCUCAAACCACACAGAAACAGCUCAACAAUAAAUACAUAAUGCAAAGGAUUUCAUUGAAUUUACAAGCAGGAGGCUAAAAAAGACUGUGAGAGAAACAAGAAAGGUAGCUGAACUCUAGGGCAGAUUUUCGACCAUCAGACAAACUCCAAGAGGAGCUACGCAUGCAAAAAAUCCUUCUCUGCUAUCAUUUCCGGGGAGUCCUUUGGGAAGAUCCAGCAUUUUGCAGCCAAAGGCCUAUGAUCAGCAAAGCAUCUGGGCU
rnacentral:lncRNA from 1 species